CUCCCCUCCAAGCUCCCCCGAGAUUUCAAACCCCACUCAUAAAAUUGUCUCCCCUCUCUCGCUUCCUCCGUCAUCAUGCUUGGCCUCUCCUCCCCCCAUCCCCAUCCCCAUCUCCGUCUCCGUCCCUCCACAGCAGCAGCGUCGCCACAGGGGAUACACGAGGCACCGCCCCCGCGCACGAUAUCUGCUUCGCCGUCAGGGGGAUCCGCGCGCCUUUGCCGGUCUCUUCCUUUCUCCCGCGCCACCGUAAACUAAUCCCGUUUCGCGGCUGCUGCUGGUAGGCGGCGGAAUCCAAUCCGAGAGCAUCGUGUUCGGAACGGGAGUAUUGAUUUCUUUCCGCUGCCGUCCCCCCGUUCGUGAUCUUGGUAUCUUUCUUGGUUGGGAGUGUUGGUUUGGAGGAGAGAGGGGCUCUUGGGGCAGAGGUGGAUGCGUGGUACGGACAUCACCAAAAUGCAAGUUUCAGGAUCGAAGGUAUUGCCACUUGCGGUGCAGUUCUUCCAAAGCAGAUGAUGUGCAGUUCAGUCAGAGACUCACAGAGACUUCAGAUCUGUUAAAAACCUUCAGAAACCACAAGAGUUCUCAUUCAUCUCAGUUCCUGGAUAGCUGCUGAUCUGCACUCACCAAACAAUAGAUGGAUAGCCAGUUCGGUGCAAUGGAAAGAGGAGGUAGUAGGCAGAGGAGGAGCCCUGUGUUAGCCAGACCAAAUACUGCAAAGAGGCAUCUGCAGCAGCAGAGGGCAAAUGCUGCUGACAAGAAGGUUGUCAUACCGAACUACUUCGGCGUCGAAGCGUUCUUUGUGCUCGCCUGCCUCACCGUUUCAUUGCUCAUACUGCCAUUGGUGCUGCCUCCAUUGCCCCCACCGCCUUCGCUGCUGCUGUUCGUGCCGGUCUGCUUGCUCAUCCUGUUGAUGGUGUUGGCCUUCAUGCCGACCGAUGUGCGGAGCAUGGCCACCUCUUACUUGUAAAUAGGCUUGCUGCGUGCUUUUUGUUUCUGAUUGUGUGUUGGCAUAAGAUGAGUGCAAUAUGAAGCAUCUUUAUAUCAGAAUAUUAUAUUUUGAACGGUGAAGUUUAGUAACUUUACAGGGUAUUGGUUGGCCAAGAUUGUGGUGCAUUGCUUGAACAAGAUUGUGCAGAUUUUGGUGCAUUGCUUGAACAA